AGGUGGGCCCUUAAAGAAUGGGGCAGAGGCAAAGUACGUGAUUGUCUAACCACUAUGCCGUACAUCUGACACGAAUACCGAAUGACAUGGAAUGCAAACUGUUAUCUGAAAGUUUAUUUUCAAAAGAAUCUAAAGAAAACGAAAACUUGUGCUCUAUCACCAUCUACUGGAACGCGAGAGAAAAACAUCUCAUCAAGCGCCUGAAUGAUUAAAAUCGAAACAGGGCCUUUAUUUAGGCAAUCACUACCUUCAAAACAGCCCGAUGGGCUGUUUUCCUGUUGGUAACCGCUACAAUAAUACAUCCAUUCAGACCAAGGAUGCUUCCCACCAAGAGUUGUAAAACUUGACAUCAACAGUUUUGGAGACCAUCCUUUGAAUGUAAUAUGUAAACAUAUAUAUUUUUCAUCUAAAGAAUUUUAGAACUUGACAAGGAAUCAAUAAUUUCUCACCAAAUCAGUAUACAUUAUACCAUGAAUCUUUUAUUUUUCAUUGCAUACAUCAGUAUUUUACAGAAAAAAAUAAAGACCUCUUAAUGUUCAAUUUCAAUGGAUCACAUUUUCUUCUGAUUCUCAAUGUACAUGAAUAUAACCAGUAAAUACAACUUAUGUUCUAACACAUUGAGUCUCAUUGAAACACUUUUCCAUACAAUUUUACACAUAUAAAUAUCAUUUGUCUACAUAAGUUUUUGAUAGCAAUAUACAAAAUCUUAUUUGUAUAUUUCCCAAUUGUUGGGCUUAAAAAAAAACAAAACCUCAAAUGGAUGAAAUUACUAGAAAUAUCUUCAUACAAUUAAUCUUUUAUUUUUAUUUUCCUGGAUAUAUGCUUCUUAAAUUGAAUUAGAUCAAAAGAUAGGGGUUAUAGAGCUCUUAUGUUUUUCUAAAUAGUUCUUUUAAAAUCUACUAAUAGAAUAAUACUACUGAACAUGCAGUUGAAAACUUUUGCUACUAGCAUGAAAUUAGGUCAAAGUUGUUUUAAUUUGCAGUGGAAAAAUCAGCAAGAAGGAAUGCUCACUCACUGAGAAGGCUGGGCAAGUGAACCCCACGUUCAAGUGGACUCAUGUGGUUCCACCUUGAGUUACUGGUUGGAAAUCUUCUUUAAGGUGUGAGGGCCCUGCAGAAAUUUUCUGAAAUGUUUAAUCAGAAUGAAUCUUCUCCCCUACAUUUUCUUUGUCGGGACCUCCCAAGAAUGAGCUCUUCAACUAGUAACUGGACUUCCUGACACUUGUUCUAAUGUCAGAAGAUUGUGGUGGGGACACUGCCUUCUGGGUUACGAGCGUGGAUUAGGAGUAUUCAACAGUAAGACACUGCAAACAUCAGACCUUCACAAGUCAAGGAUCAUGCAAAGCUAGUCUUUUAAUGAGACAACUGUAUUUUAUAUUGGCACUUGCAUUAGCUGCUAUUGCUACCAUAAAUAUGUUUAUAUUAUAUACAAAAGAAGCACAUAAUUUACUGUGUGUGUGUGUGUUUUUUACUCAGAGGUGGUAGCAACUGUCUUAGCUGCAAAGAAAAAUAUCCUUUAGACACUGUCAUUGUAGACAAGAAUAAAAUCUGAAAAUCGUUAGCAGGUACAAUGCAACCUUCCUUUAAGCACAGUUGCUAACAUGGAACCCUCCUCUAUACAAUCAAUACUAAAAUAAAGCUGCCCCUGUUUAAGAUCCUGGAUCACAGAGU